rnacentral:lncRNA from 1 species
ACUUUUAUUGUGACUCAAUCCACACCACUCCCUCCAUUAAUUAACCCCCGAAUCCGAUGCCGGAAUUUCCCUUUUCCCCCUCCCCGCCCGCUCCGUGCCCCGCCCGGGCCAACUCGGCCCGCACCAUUCCCAGGAUAUCCCCGCUGAGCCGGGAGAGGAUCCCGAGCUCGGCUCGGCGGCGCCCGCCGCUUUGGGGCUGUUUUUGGGAUUUUUUUGGGAUUUUUGGGGUUUUUUGGGGUUUUUUUGGGUUUUUUGGGUGUUUUGGGGUUUUUUUGGGGGGGGGGUUUGGUGUUUUUGUUGGGGUAUUUUGGGGUUUUUUUUGGAGGGGUUUCUUAGGUGGUUUUUGUGGCAUUUUUGUGGCGUUUUCUGGGAUUUUCCGAUGGUUUUUUGGGGGUUUUGUUUUUUGGGGGUUUUUUGGCAGUUUUUGGUGUUUUUUUUGGGUAUUUUGGGUUUUUUUAGGUGGUUUUUGCAGAGUUUUUGUGGUGUUUUCUGGGAGUUUUCUGAUGGUUUUUUUGGCAGGUUUUUUGGGGUUUUUUGGGCUUUUUCUGGGGGUUUUGGGGUUUUUCUGGGGUUUUUUUUUGGGUUUUUUAGCCGUUUUUUGAGCGGUUUUUGCAGAGUUUUUGCGGCAUUUCCUGGGAGUUUUUCGAUGGUUUUUUGGGGGUUUGUUUUGGGCUUUUUUCAGGGUUUUUUGGGUGGAUUUUUGAGGUUUUUUGGGUGUUGUCAAGGGUUUUUGGGGUUUUUUUGGGUGGUUUCUGUGGCAUUUUUGUGGCCUUUUCUGGGGGUUUUCUGAUGGUAUUUUGGGGUUUUUUUGGAGGCGGGGUUUGGCUUUUUUGCGGUUUUUUGGGUGGUUCUUUGGGUGUUUUCAAGGGUUUUUGGCGGUGUUUUGUGGUUUUUUGGGGUGGUUUCUUUGAUGGUUUUCGUGGCGUUUUCUGGGUAUUCCCCAAUGUUUUUUUUGAGUUUUUUUCCAGGUUUCCCCAUUUUUUCUCUGCUUUCCACACACUUUUA